UGAAGCUCUCAUAAACCCUAGACACCACCAUCCAAUGCCACCCUAUUAUACUCCAAACCCUACCUAAUCCAUGGCCUCCCAUGGCCAUUGGAGAUUUGUAAUGGCCUCAUAUGGCUCCUGGUGUUCGUUUCUGUGGUUUCAUGGCCAGACCUCGAAGGAAUUGGUCCAGUCUUUUCCUGACUUCGAUUCAUUGCCUUUCUACGGUCAUCCUUGACUUUUCUCCGGCCAGUCGUGAUCGUUCGAGUUAGAUCCUAGACUCUCCUGGUUAGAUCGUUAAUUUUCAAAGCCUUUAUCACCUUUCUGGGUUUUUCAAUAUCCUAAUCUUUGGGAUUUUUGAUUUUUUCUUUCAGAUCUACUUUAGAUCUGUAAUUGCCAUGAAUGUUUUAAGUGUUUUCUAGAAAGUUCUUCAACUUUUCUUACAAAACGACCCUUCCUUAGGGUUUUCCUUUAAGUUUUUCAAAGAUCUUUGAUUUUAACAUGUUUGUGAUUUGCCUAUGAUUUGCUCAUGACG
rnacentral:lncRNA from 1 species